GUGUCACAUGUGCUGUGCUGCGCUGCCUUAACUGCGGAUUAUCGAGAACCUAGCUGAGGUCCUCGGUACACCGUCCCACUUAGCUGUGGCCCUGACCGUGGAGCUCCUCCGUGCCUUUCUGGUCACUCCCUCUCCAGGGAAGGAGCGGGAGUUUGGGGCAGAGAUGGGCCACCCAGCCUCCCACUCCCCUGAAGGCACCCAGCGUGAAGCCUGGAGAAGAUCAGUCCCCGGACUCUGAAGUCCUCUCCAUCCCCUGCUGGACCACUGUCCACCCCGGGACGAGGAGGAGGCGGACCGGCUCCUGGCAGCAAAGCUAGAGAGCACAGUGAUAGAGACCUCAAAACACAGGAAACCACCCCUGGGCAGGGGGACCUAGAGCAAGCGCACAUCCCUCAUCAGCCUCAGGCCCUUCAGCACUGCAGAUGCUGAGGCUGUGCCCGCCCUCGGGAAGCUCAGGGGGUCCCCACUUGCCUGGAACAACAGGGAAAGGGCAAAGGUGCUUGCAAGGCACCAAGUGGGAAGAUGACGGCAGCAAGUGUUUGAUAAUGGGGAUGGUUCGUUGGAUGAUAAACAAUUUUCUAUGCUUAAAAAAAAAAAAAAGAAAAAGAAAAGAAAAAAAUCCCGAAAGCAAAAGAAAUAAAAUUGCAGGUGCAGCCAGCCACCACAGGCAAACAUCAGAAGCCUCUUUAAACACAUACACGCGACGGCCACAAGGUGGCAGCUUAGAACCACGACACUGCAGAUCACCAUUCAAAGACCCAACCGCUUGGAAUAUGGCCAGAGUGGAGAACAAAAACCAGGCCUCAAGUACAGUGACGGUGACCAGAAACAGGAUUUGAAGGAGUCAAACCCCUGUAACCGUCCCAUAGACAUCCAGCCAUGAACUUUUGAGCGGCCGUCAGUAUCACUAUUUCUAUCACAGAAUCAGGUGAUGCUUCUGCUAGAACUGUCCCCGCUUGGAGUAAAUGCAUAAGAGCAGGUGCCCACCGAGCUGGAUUGCGCUUGUCAAAGGUUAUGAGCCACCUGCUGAUCCCUUUCUAGCAGUAGGCAGAAGGUCAAACUGCAGUGAGUUUUCACCCCACUGUUCUUUUGUGGGAUGGCGCCCAGCAGAAGAGCUCCCUGUAUAAAAUCAGUCCAGGAAACUGUAGUGUGGGAAUCUUACCCAGGGACAGAGCUUCUCACUGUCCCCUAUCCUUCUAUCAAAUGUAAUUUGAUAUAUUUAUCAAGUUAUAAAUAUAUUUUAUGAUAUUUAUAAGCACCAAAGAUGUGAGUGCUCUGUGGUUAUCCUGACUGUAAGAGAUAACAUGUUUGCCUUCAGCCUGCGGUAUGGUGGGCAGUUAAGCCAGUUGCUUUAGGGGACAAUGACGGGUAGUGUGACCCGCAGCUACCUCUUAAACACAUCAUCUUGAAGAGUUUGGAAAAUAAGAGAGGAGUAAAAAAUAAGUAACUGUGAUGGUUAAUUUUAUAUAUCAACUUGACUAAGUUAUUGUACCCAGAUAUCUGUCAGACACUGGUCUAAUGUUAUCAUGAAGGUGUUUUGUAGAAGAUGAGACUUGUGCUUAAUUUUGUAGACUUUGAAUAAAACAGAUCAUCUCUGUAACAUGGAUGAGCCUCACGCAAUCAGCUGAAAGCCUGAAGAGAAAAAGGACAGAAGACCGGAGAAGAAGAAGUAUUUCAGCGGUGUUCGUGCUCAGGCUGUACCUUCAACUCCUAUCUGGGUCUCCAGCUUUCUGGCCAACCCCUGCCAAGUUCCAUAAUCACAUGAGCCAAGUGCUUAAAUUUCUAAUCUAUAUACACAUCUUACUCGUUCUGUUUUUGUGGAAACUAUUUUGAAAAGUGGGAUGAAAGAUAGUACUUUGGGUAAAGGAUUUAAAAUAUCUAUGUAAAAAAUGUGAUUUAUUCUGCUCACUGCCAGGCAAUGCAGAUGACUUGGGCAGGUGUCCUUUGAGCUCUUUUGUCUUUCAGUGGGGUGAGCAUUUGUGUUCUCCCAGCUGCCCAUGGUGACUCUGCUCACUCCACAUUCAUCAAUUUCCUUUUUCCUAUAUCCAUUUAGUUUCAUUUAAGUUCAAUAUGUACAUUUCAAUAUGUUAUAGAAGUGUUUAUAAGAUUUCAUAAAGACGGCAAGAGGGCUUGGGAUUCAGCUCAGUGGUGCCACUGCCUGCCUCACAAUUGCAAGGUCCUUGUACCCCCUGAAAAAAAAAAGAUUUCAUAAAGAGCUAGUGUUGGGAAACAAACUUUUACUUAUGUUUUGUUUGUUUUUUCUGUGAGGGAGAAUCAGGUUUAAAAAAUGAGCACUCUGAGAAUAACGACCUGAAGUCCUUGGAUCUUCGCAGCCAUCUCUGGACUGUUUCUGUUAGAAAAUGUUUCCAUCCACGGUCUGCUCUCCUGAGGUCUGGAAUAGAAUCCCAUCCCGGAGACAUGCUUUUCUGAUGGUCCCAGCGAACUUCCACACAGUGUGCAAGCCCGAUCACGUCGGGUGAGGGGCUUUCCGUUGACGACAUUGCCGGGGGAGAAACGAAGAGCACAGGGCGCCCACAAGCACAGGCCGAGACCGUUUUCUGGGAUCGAACUCCACAUGCCGCGAUGAAGUGUAUGAAGGCUUCCCGGCAGCCGGAUGGUGAUGCCGGAGGUGUGUGAGGCCCGUCAAGCGCGGUUUCUGCAGGAGAGUUUCACUUCCAGCUCCAGAAAAUGAUGACAUGCGAAACACAGCCUUUCAUUCUAGCAAACACAUUUCUUAGAGUCAGACCUUCCGCGAGAUUCCUAGUGAAGCUCUGUCCACGUGCUAUAGACUUUAAAAUAGACUCCAACAUCCUAGGAAUUGUUGCUUCUUACUUUUCCUAUUUCUACUUUCCCUAACCUCCAAAGAGAGUUUCCCGACCCCACGUAUGCCAUGCAGUUGGGCUUCAAUUC
rnacentral:lncRNA from 1 species